rnacentral:rRNA from 1 species
UACGUAGGGUGCGAGCGUUGUCCGGAAUUAUUGGGCGUAAAGAGCUCGUAGGCGGUGUGUCACGUCGGCCGUGAAAACCUGCAGCUUAACUGUGGGCGUGCGGGCGAUACGGGCAGACUGGAGUACUGCAGGGGAGACUGGAAUUCCUGGUGUAGCGGUGGAAUGCGCAGAUAUCGGGAGGAACACCGGUGGCGAAGGCGGGUCUCUGGGCAGUAACUGACGCUGAGGAGCGAAAGCGUGGGGAGCAAACAGG